AGACUUCUUACGUGUUGAAACGUGGCAGC
rnacentral:sRNA from 1 species